GGUACGGUAGCCUAGUGGUUAGAGCGUCCGGCUCAGACGCGGGAGGUAACGUGUUCGAACCCAGGUCGAGUCAUACCA